rnacentral:rRNA from 1 species
CCGGGCGAAGUGGGUGAUCCUAUGCUGCCGAGAAAAGCCUCUAGUGAGUGUCGUGGCGGCCCGUACCCCAAACCGACUCAGGUGGUCAGGUAGAGAAUACCAAGGCGAUCGGGUGAACUGUGGUUAAGGAACUCGGCAAAUUGCCCCCGUAACUUCGGGAGAAGGGGGGCCUCCGCUGGUGAUCAGACUUGCUUUGUGAGCUGGUGGGGGUCGCAGAGGCCAGGGGGAAGCGACUGUUUACUAAAAACACAGGUCCGUGCGAAGUCGUAAGACGAUGUAUACGGACUGACGCCUGCCCGGUGCUGGAACGUUAAGGGGACCGGUUAGCGCACUUCGGUGUGCGAGGCUGAGAACUUAAGCGCCAGUAAACGGCGGUGGUAACUAUAACCAUCCUAAGGUAGCGAAAUUCCUUGUCGGGUAAGUUCCGACCUGCACGAAUGGCGUAACGACUUCCCCGCUGUCUCAACCGCAGACCCGGCGAAAUUGCACUACGAGUAAAGAUGCUCGUUACGCGCAGCAGGACGGAAAGACCCCGGGACCUUCACUACAGCUUGACAUUGGCGUUUGGAACGUCUUGUGUAGGAUAGGUGGGAGACUGUGAAGCUGUCACGCUAGUGGCGGUGGAGUCAUUGGUGAAAUACCACUCUGGUCGUUUUGAACGUCUAACUUCGGUCCGUGAUCCGGAUCAGGGACAGUGUCUGGUGGGUAGUUAAACUGGGGCGGUUGCCUCCUAAAGAGUAACGGAGGCGCCCAAAGGUUCCCUCAGCCUGGUUGGUAAUCAGGUGUCGAGUGUAAGUGCACAAGGGAGCUUGACUGUGAGACCGACGGGUCGAGCAGGAGCGAAAGCUGGGACUAGUGAUCCGGCGGUGGCAUGUGGAAGCGCCGUCGCUCAACGGCUAAAAGGUACCCCGGGGGUAACAGGCUGAUCUUCCCCAAGAGUCCAUAUCGACGGGAUGGUUUGGCACCUCGAUGUCGGCUCGUCGCAUCCUGGGGCUGGAGUAGGUCCCAAGGGUUGGGCUGUUCGCCCAUUAAAGCGGUACGCGAGCUGGGUUUAGAACGUCGCGAGACAGUUCGGUCCCUAUCCGCUGCGCGCGCAGGAGACUUGAAAGGAGCUGUCCCUACUACGAGAGGACCGGGACGGACGAACCUCUGGUGUGCCAGUUGUUCCGCCAGGAGCAUGGCUGGUUGGCUACGUUCGGAAGGGAUAACCGCUGAAAGCAUCUAAGCGGGAAGCUCGCCUUGAGAUGAGGUCUCCCACCACGUGAGUGGGUAAGGCCCCCGGGAGACGACCGGGUUGAUAGGCCGGAGGUGGAAGCAUGGUAACGUGUGGAGCUGACCGGUACUAAUAGGCCGAGGACUUGACC